GACGAACGCUGGCGGCGUGCUUAACACAUGCAAGUCGAACGAAGAGCGAUGGAAGCUUGCUUCUAUCAAUCUUAGUGGCGAACGGGUGAGUACGCGUAAUCAACCUGCCCUUCAGAGGGGGACAACAGUUGGAAACGACUGCUAAUACCGCAUACGAUCUAAUCUCGGCAUCGAGGAUAGAUGAAAGGUGGCCUCUACAUGUAAGCUAUCACUGAAGGAGGGGAUUGCGUCUGAUUAGCUAGUUGGAGGGGUAACGGCCCACCAAGGCGAUGAUCAGUAGCCGGUCUGAGAGGAUGAACGGCCACAUUGGGACUGAGACACGGCCCAGACUCCUACGGGAGGCAGCAGUGGGGAAUCUUCCGCAAUGGACGAAAGUCUGACGGAGCAACGCCGCGUGAGUGAUGACGGCCUUCGGGUUGUAAAGCUCUGUUAAUCGGGACGAAAGGCCUUCUUGCGAAUAGUGAGAAGGAUUGACGGUACCGGAAU
rnacentral:rRNA from 1 species